AUUGAACGCUGGCGGCAUGCUUUACACAUGCAAGUCGAACGGCAGCGCGGGGGCAACCCUGGCGGCGAGUGGCGAACGGGUGAGUAAUGCAUCGGAACGUAUCCUGUAAUGGGGGAUAACGUAGCGAAAAGUUACGCUAAUACCGCAUACGCUCGAGAGAGGAAAGUGGGGAUCGCAAAGACCUCACGUUAUAGGAGCGGCCGAUGUCCGAUUAGCUAGUUGGUGGGGUAAAGGCCUACCAAGGCGACGAUCGGUAGCUGGUCUGAGAGGAUGAUCAGCCACACUGGGACUGAGACACGGCCCAGACUCCUACGGGAGGCAGCAGUGGGGAAUUUUGGACAAUGGGCGAAAGCCUGAUCCAGCCAUGCCGCGUGCGGGAAGAAGGCCU
rnacentral:rRNA from 1 species